CCUACGGGCGGCAGCAGUCGAGAAUCAUUCACAAUGUGGGAAACCCUGAUGGUGCGACGCCGCGUGGGGGAAUGAAGGUCUUCGGAUUGUAAACCCCUGUCAUGUGGGAGCAAAUUAAAAAGAUAGUACCACAAGAGGAAGAGACGGCUAACUCUGUGCCAGCAGCCGCGGUAAUACAGAGGUCUCAAGCGUUGUUCGGAAUCACUGGGCGUAAGGCGUGCGUAGGCUGUUUCGUAAGUCGUGUGUGAAAGGCGCGGGCUCAACCCGCGGACGGCACAUGAUACUGCGAGACUAGAGUAAUGGAGGGGGAACCGGAAUUCUCGGUGUAGCAGUGAAAUGCGUAGAUAUCGAGAGGAACACUCGUGGCGAAGGCGGGUUCCUGGACAUUAACUGACGCUGAGGCACGAAGGCCAGGGGAGCGAAAGGGAUUAGAUACCCCAGUAGUC
rnacentral:rRNA from 1 species